UACCCCCAGCAAUGGGCAGACACCUUGUUGGUGGUGCUCUUAUACCAGUCAGGGGCAGGGCAGAUGGCAGCCCUUUGUUUCAUCCUAGUUUGAUAGGUAGCCUGGUAACCAAAGCUGUUUUAUGCCUAGGACAUAAAA